rnacentral:rRNA from 2 species
UAGGGAAUCUUCCGCAAUGGGCGAAAGCCUGACGGAGCAACGCCGCGUGAGUGAUGAAGGUCUUCGGAUCGUAAAACUCUGUUAUUAGGGAAGAACAAAUGUGUAAGUAACUAUGCACGUCUUGACGGUACCUAAUCAGAAAGCCACGGCUAACUACGUGCCAGCAGCCGCGGUAAUACGUAGGUGGCAAGCGUUAUCCGGAAUUAUUGGGCGUAAAGCGCGCGUAGGCGGUUUUUUAAGUCGGAUGUGAAAGCCCACGGCUCAACCGUGGAGGGUCAUUGGAAACUGGAAAACUUGAGUGCAGAAGAGGAAAGUGGAAUUCCAUGUGUAGCGGUGAAAUGCGCAGAGAUAUGGAGGAACACCAGUGGCGAAGGCGACUUUCUGGUCUGUAACUGACGCUGAUGUGCGAAAGCGUGGGGAUCAAACAGG